rnacentral:sRNA from 1 species
AGACAUAUAGUUGGACCGCUGUAGUUCCAACUAUAUGUCUGAUUCUGAUAGUAUAGCAUCUCUGGGGUAUCACGAAGUUCAUGACAAUGACAUUCAUUUUGAGACCAUACAAAUAUUAAGAAUAGCAAUACUAUAUACGGUUCACAUGUGUUUUGGCUUUUACUUUGUUAAAUUACUUGAGCCUGUUCAAAGCAUCAUUGCAAAAGAGAAUAACGAAAUUUAUUAAACUUUAAGGCAGAUUAACAACAGUUGUAUGCUUUUUUAUUUGUACAGGACUUGCCGUUCGCAAACAGCAUAAUGCGGAACAUACGUCGCAAUUUACCACAGACGCUGGAAACCGGAAGUCAAGGUUCUCAGAAAUUAACCGGGUACCUAGAACACGCCAUUGACGGAGGAUGCCAUGCCGUACGAGUAUACACUUCCCA